GAAGGAUUCUCAGAAACAUGUUUGUGAUGUGUGUACUCAGCUAACAGAGUGGAACCUUUCUUUUUACAGAGCAGCUUUGAUACACUAUUUUUGUAGAAUCUGCAAGUUGAUAUUUGGAUAUUCCCGUUUCCAAUGAAAUCCUUAAAGCUAUCCCAAUAUCCACCUGCAGAUUCUACAAAAAGAGUGUUUCAAAACUGCUCUGUAAAAAGAAUUGUUCAACUCUGUUAGUUGAGGACAUACAUCACAAAGAAGGUUCUGAGA
rnacentral:lncRNA from 10 species